rnacentral:rRNA from 1 species
GUCCUAGCCGUAAACGAUUGACACUAGGUGUUGGUGGUAUCAACCCCGCCAGUGCCGAAGCUAACGCAUUAAGUGUCCCGCCUGGGGAGUACGGCCGCAAGGCUAAAACUCAAAGGAAUUGACGGGGGCCCGCACAAGCAGCGGAGCGUGGGGUUUAAUUCGACGCAACGCGAAUAACCUUACCAGGACUUGACAUUACCAGGACAGCGGCGGAAACGUCGUCUCCCGCAAGGGGCCUGGCCACAGGUGUUGCAUGGCUGUCGU